rnacentral:rRNA from 1 species
GACGAACGCUGGCGGCGCGCCUAACACAUGCAAGUCGAACGAGCGAGAGAGAGCUUGCUUUCUCGAGCAAGUGGCGAACGGGUGAGUAACGCGUGAGGAACCUGCCUCAAAGAGGGGGACAACAGUUGGAAACGACUGCUAAUACCGCAUAAGCCCACGGUGCCGCAUGGCACAGAGGGAAAAGGAGCAAUCCGCUUUGAGAUGGCCUCGCGUCCGAUUAGCUAGUUGGUGAGGUAAUGGCCCACCAAGGCAACGAUCGGUAGCCGGACUGAGAGGUUGAACGGCCACAUUGGGACUGAGACACGGCCCAGACUCCUACGGGAGGCAGCAGUGGGGAAUAUUGCACAAUGGGGGAAACCCUGAUGCAGCGACGCCGCGUGGAGGAAGAAGGUCUUCGGAUUGUAAACUCCUGUUGUUGGGGAAGAUAAUGACGGUACCCAACAAGGAAGUGACGGCUAACUACGUG